rnacentral:rRNA from 1 species
UACAGAGGUCUCAAGCGUUGUUCGGAUUCAUUGGGCGUAAAGGGUGCGUAGGCGGCGCGGUAAGUCGGGUGUGAAAGCCCCGGGCUCAACCUGGGAAUUGCGCUCGAGACUGGUCUGCUUGAGUUCGGGAGAGGAUGGUGGAAUUCCCAGUGUAGAGGUGAAAUUCGUAGAUAUUGGGAAGAACACCGGUGGCGAAGGCGGCCAUCUGGACCGCAACUGACGCUGAGGCGCGAAAGCGUGGGGAGCAAACAGG